AAUCCAUAGGUUAAUGAGGCGAACCGGGGGAACUGAAACAUCUAAGUACCCCGAGGAAAAGAAAUCAACCGAGAUUCCCCCAGUAGCGGCGAGCGAACGGGGAGGAGCCCAGAGCCUGAAUCAGCAUGUGUGUUAGUGGAAGCGUCUGGAAAGGCGCGCGAUACAGGGUGACAGCCCCGUACACAAAAGCGCAUGUGCUGUGAGCUCGAUGAGUAGGGCGGGACACGUGGUAUCCUGUCUGAAUAUGGGGGGACCAUCCUCCAAGGCUAAAUACUCCUGACUGACCGAUAGUGAACCAGUACCGUGAGGGAAAGGCGAAAAGAACCCCGGCGAGGGGAGUGAAAAAGAACCUGAAACCGUGUACGUACAAGCAGUGGGAGCCCCACCACCAAAGCGUUUCGCUUUGUGUGGUGCACAAAGAAGCGUAACGACAGCACUGAAUGACGGUUAACGGAGCGCAAGCGACGUUCAACAUACAAAGUCAAGCAGUGGAGCGCUUUGGGGUGGGGUGACUGCG
rnacentral:rRNA from 1 species